rnacentral:rRNA from 1 species
GAUGAACGCUAGCGGCAGGCCUAAUACAUGCAAGUCGAACGAGAUUAAGAGGCUUGCUUCUUAUGAAAGUGGCGCACGGGUGCGUAACGCGUAUGCAACCUACCUUAAUCAGGGGGAUAGCCCGAAGAAAUUCGGAUUAAGACCGCAUAAAAACACAGGAUAGCAUUAUCCAAUGUUCAAAUAUUUAUAGGAUUAAGAUGGGCAUGCGUGUCAUUAGCUAGUUGGCGGGGUAACGGCCCACCAAGGCGACGAUGACUAGGGGAUCUGAGAGGAUGACCCCCCACGCUGGUACUGAGACACGGACCAGACUCCUACGGGAGGCAGCAGUAAGGAAUAUUGGUCAAUGGAGGGAACUCUGAACCAGCCAUGCCGCGUGCAGGAAGACAGCCCUCUGGGUCGUAAACUGCUUUUAUUCGGGAAUAAACCUUUCUACGUGUAGGAAGCUGAAUGUACCGAAGGAAUAAGGAUCGGCUAACUCCGUG